UUAGACCCACGCCGUUGAUGAUACUCUGCUAUCCUUGCAGAUAGGAGCGUAGCAUAACUGUCAUCGGAGAGGCUUCCUUCACCCAGCAACUGAUGGAAGCAGAUGCGGAGACCCACACCCAAGCAUUUGGAGGAGCUUGGGGAAUCCCGUGGAAGAGGCAGAGGGAGCCCGAGGGGUCAAGGACACACGAAAACCUACAGAAUCAACCAACCUGAGCCUGUGGGGGCUCGCGGAGCCCGAACUGCUAACCAGAGAGCAUGCGCAGGAUAGACCUGGGCCUGCUGUUCAUUUGUAACAGUUGUGCAGCUGGGUCUCCAUGUCGGUCUCCUAACAGCAGGAGCAGCAGAUGGAUCUGACUCUGUUGCCUGCCUUUGGAUCCUUUCCUCUCUAACUGCCUUGCCCAGUCACGAUGAGAGAAGAUGUUCCUAGUCCAAGUUGAUACGCCAAGCACAUUUACAGGACUCUACUAAGCCCCAGCGGAACCAGCCUUCCCAUAGGUUAGAAACUGAUUGACAGCAGAUGCAGGAGGAAAUGAUUUGUGGAUGCUCCUGACCACGGAUACUCACUGCCCAUCCUUUACUACAGAAUGAAACAAGUCAGCCGCGGAGGCUACGCAAACUGCACACGUCCACGCUUAGACUAUGGAGAUGGACCCAGAAGGGACGGCAGCAGCUGUAUCCUUGAGCAACUGGAAAGGCUUGAGAAAAAGGUACAGCUAAGAAGAGACAGCGAGAGGCAGAGUCCCGCUGCACUCAGAUCUAGCGUGUGCAUUUCAAACUGCAAACCUCGAUGUUGCUAGGCGCAGGAAUGAAAUUAUGUGGGAAGAAAGCCACUUUUAGUUCCAAAGACUUCACAGGGUCGGCGGCAGGGACACUGAGAACAGAU